GGCAGUGGAGUCUCAGUGGUUAAAGGCUCUGUGUUGCUGAUCAGAAGGUCGUGAGUUCAAGCCCCUUCACUGCCA